rnacentral:tRNA from 1 species
GGGCGUUUAGCUCAGUUGGUUUAGAGCAUCUGCCUUACAAGCAGAGGGUCCGCGGUUCAAAUCCGUGAACGCCCACAA